UUUUUUUUUUCUUUUGGAAUCCCGCGGCACCCUUUGGGAUAAUUACAAGGACCCUGCAGUGUCACAAAGGCAGAAUUGGGAAAGCAUUGGCUUGUAUCGUUGCCAUGGGAAUCUGCCUCCUGUAACAAUCCAGUUCUAGAGAGAACAGGAAAAAGGGAAGAAAUCUCAAGAGGGGCUGUAAAUAGGGCAAGGCAGAGUCACAGAGUAAAUCAAGCCAGUGGGUCAGAAGCUCUGCCUUCCCCUGUCUGUCCCAGCAACAUAACACACGAGGGAGAAAGAUGAGAAUCUGCCUUGAUUAUCAGAUGGCAAGGAGGUUGACUCUGCUCAGAUCCAUUUUGCAGCAUUAAAUGCAGACGGAGGAGAUGCAAGUGGGAGGCAGAGUCACUCUUCUCUGCAGGUGACCAGGUCUGGUCACUGACCAGCUCUGUGAUUACAAUCAGGGGGCGGAGAGCCCCACUUUCCUCUCUGCUGUUAAGAGCAUCAGCCCCUCCACAGAGGUGUCCUCUGUUUCCCAAUUUUAAUUUUAGCAUCUGCACUUUAGCAAUUUGCAUUUAAAUGUGUUGUCAGAGAACUUCCAGAAAUCUUUAAUAGGAAGACUGAUUUGCAUUUUAAUAUGCUGUUAAAGAAUUUCAAAUACCUUUUUUUAGUGUGAAUACAUAUUACCAGAGGAAUGGCCACAGUUAAAGAAAUGAUAAUUACCUGGGUACAAUUUAAAGGAAGCUCACUUUCAGAAACACCCUGGCUUUGGUGGAAGCUGUUAAAAGUUCCUUGUAAAACAGAAAGUCCAAAAGCAAAAGGAAACCCUCUGAUCCGAGAGGCGUUCAAGGUAGUGAUGAUACUUUUGAAGGUAUAGAAAUCCAAGCAGAGAGGUAAGUACACAAAUGCUGGAGCAGUUUUGUUAAGAGCGAGAUCAUCUAAAAGCAGAAAGAGGCGUUCCCGUCGUGGCUCAGUGGUUAGCAAAUCCGACUGGGAACCAUGAGGUUGCAGGUUCGGUCCCUGGCCUUGCUCGGUGGGCUGGGGAUCCAGCGUUGCCAUGAGCUGUGGUGUGGGUUGAAGAGNCAGUGAAGAAAAUUUGAGAGAGAGAUAGAGAGAGACAAAAUAAAUAAAUAAAUAAAUAAAUAAAUAAAUAAUAAAAUAAAAGCAGAAAGAGGAAGGCAGGAUUUUCCUCGCUGCCCUUUGCCAGGGUCCCGCCCACCACUUUUCUUCUCUGUUGAAGUUCAAAGGCCAGAUUCAGACAGGUCAAGUCCUGACAUCAUGAAAAGUGAGUGUUUCUGCCCAUGCUCCUCCUUAAAUAUUUCACAAGAGUAACCAUGAUCCUGAAUGGACAAUUCAGUUUUCUGUGGAUUCUGGAGAAAUACCAAUGAAGUCCUGACCUCACAUUCAGAAUAAUAAAACAAUAUUAUACAUUCUAUUUACGCUGUCUCCCCAUCCUCAACCACCCUGGGUUACCACGUCAGCAUGGCAUUUGAAGUCUCCUUGAAUCUAUCCUCUACCAAAUUCUCCAACUAUUCAUUGCUCCACUCUACGGGCAAUUAAAGUUAACCUUUACCUUUGCCAAGCAACCUGACUCCUACAGGUCUCGCUCCGUGAAAACUUCCUGCCAUGAAGGCCAUAUACUCUGAGCUGUACUGAAGGAGGAGAAAAGGGGAAGAGGGAGGAGGAAAAGACAGAAAAGAAAAAAAAAAUUCUGAAGAGGAUGACAAGGACAAGGAGAAAGAGAGAAGAAGGAGAAGAAAAAAUUCAGAAAUUUAUCUUUUGAAAAAUCUUUCAAACUUUCUCCUUAAAACGCUCACGUGGUUUUAAACAACAAAUGUCUUCUGUGAUUGAGGAAAUUCCCUUUAAAAACCUCUGGAUGAGUUUAUUUUGCAAAUGCUGCUUUUGUAUUAUUGAAAAAAGAAGAAGAAGAAGACAACAGGCCCAAUAAUGGACUCUCUUAUGCUAAGCCUCCUAUCACUAAAGCAAGACUUCCUUACAGUUUGGCUCUCCCAAGAAGGGAAUCUUAAACCAGCCAACCGGGAGACAGCUGAUGAGUACUAGUUAGGUUAUCUGCCCAAAAGACUCCUGCCACCACCUUAAAAGAAAGUGACCUUGCAAUAAACAACCUGCUUUUGUCUCUAGUUCCAGCUUCCUUGUUCCUGUUCCUUUCUUGUUACAGAAGUCCCUCUGGUACAGCUCCUCAGAGUUCCUUCCUAUUGGCCACAGUGGGUGCUGCCCAGUUUGACAUUUGCCCAAGCAAAUUUACAGUUUUCAUACGUCUCCAUUUAUCUUUUCACAUGUCUGGUGACAGAAGAGGAACCCAAAAGCAAGUAGCAACAGCUAUUUGUCCUGACUGACACCUGACAAAGAUAUUCAAACUGAUUUUUUUUUUUUUAAGUAGCUCUAUGGUUAAAACUUGGCCAAGCUGAAAAGCUGAUAUUCAGAGCCUGACUGGAACUUCUUUUUAGGCCUUCCUUCCCAAGCUAAAAUGGACCUCAGUGUCCAGAGAAAAAGAAAAAUUUUCUGAAGCUGAUGCAGAAGGAGUUACUAACACACUUCGAAGACACACAGGUCUAAAUCUAGAACACAGGAAUUUUUUUUAAAUUUCCAUCUGAGGUAAAGUUUUCUCCCUGAUAUAAAAAAGGCAAAUUAAGGAUAAUGUAGUUGGAUGGGCGGGUGGGUCAGCUUCCCUAUGAUUCAGAUUGCAAGCCUAUUCUUUGAAAAACUAAAAGCACCUGAACUUUAUUUGACAAAUCGAGUAUUUACAAGACCAAAAACAUGGCUCUGGAAACAAUUCGAAGCCCACCUACCCUUUUUCCAGUCCCCAGACCUCCCCUAUUCCUAUCAGAAGGCUUGUGGCAAAAGAACAGAAGUCCUUCUUGGCGGAACGUGCAUUCUUCCUCCGCGCCUGUUGAGAUGUAAGUAUUCGACUCUUCUCUAGAAACCAAGAUAAACUAUCAAGGGAAAAAAGGAAAGCCUACUUUGAAAACUAGGUCUUUGCAGCAAAACAUUCUCUGACAUAAAUUGUACCCAUAUUUUCUUAAGUCAGCCUCCCAAGGCAACAGAAAUAAAAACAAAAUAAACAAAUAGUACCUAACCAAACUUGCAAACAUUUGCAUGGCAAAGGAAACCAUUAAAAGAAAAAAAAAAAAGACAAUUUAUGGAAUGGGAGGAGAGAAUAUUUGCAAAUGAUACAAUCAACAAGGGCUAAUGUCCAAAAUAAACAAACAGCUCAUACAACACAACAACAAAAAACUAACCCAAUUGAAAAGUGGGCAAAGACCUAGAGAGACAUUUCUCCAAAGAAGACACACAGAUGGCCAAUAGGCACAAGAAAAGAUGCUCCCUCUGCUAGUUUUUAGCGAAAUGCAAAUCAAAACUCCCAUGAGGUAUC
rnacentral:lncRNA from 1 species